CUUGCUUCAUGAUUCAGACCUUGGUGAGUGGCGGACGGGUGAGUAACACGUGGGUAACCUGCCCAGAAGUGGGGGAUAACAUUUGGAAACAAGUGCUAAUACCGCAUAACAACAUUUAUCUCAUGAUUUAUGUUUAAAAGAUGGUUCUGCUAUCUCUUCUGGAUGGACCCGCGGCGUAUUAGCUAGUUGGUGAGGUAAUAGCUCACCAAGGCGAUGAUACGUAGCCGACCUGAGAGGGUAAUCGGCCACAUUGGGACUGAGACACGGCCCAAACUCCUACGGGAGGCAGCAGUAGGGAAUCUUCCACAAUGGACGAAAGUCUGAUGGAGCAACGCCGCGUGAGUGAAGAAGGUUUUCGGAUCGUAAAACUCUGUUGUUGAAGAAGAACAUAUGUGAGAGUAACUGUUCACGUACUGACGGUAUUCAACCAGAAAGCCACGGCUAACUACGUGCCAGCAGCCGCGGUAAUACGUAGGUGGCAAGCGUUGUCCGGAUUUAUUGGGCGUAAAGAGAAUGUAGGCGGUUCAUUAAG
rnacentral:rRNA from 1 species